rnacentral:rRNA from 14 species
GAGACCUCAGGUCAGGCGGGGCUACCCGCUGAGUUUAAGCA